UACGAAGGGUGCAAGCGUUAAUCGGAAUUACUGGGCGUAAAGGGCGCGUAGGUGGCCCGGUCAGUUCGUGGUGAAAGCGCGGGGCUCAACCCUGCGUCGGCCAUGAAUACUGCCGCGGCUGGAGCACUGUAGAGGCAGGCGGAAUUCCGGGUGUAGCGGUGGAAUGCGUAGAGAUCCGGAAGAACACCGGUGGCGAAGGCGGCCUGCUGGGCAGUUGCUGACACUGAGGCGCGACAGCGUGGGGAGCAAACAGG
rnacentral:rRNA from 1 species